rnacentral:rRNA from 1 species
UACGGAGGGGGCAAGCGUUGUUCGGAAUUACUGGGCGUAAAGGGCUCGUAGGUGGCCAACUAAGUCAGACGUGAAAUCCCUCGGCUCAACCGGGGAACUGCGUCUGAUACUGGAUGGCUUGAGUUCGGGAGAGGGAUGCGGAAUUCCAGGUGUAGCGGUGAAAUGCGUAGAUAUCUGGAGGAACACCGGUGGCGAAGGCGGCAUCCUGGACCGACACUGACGCUGAGGAGCGAAAGCCAGGGGAGCAAACGGG